rnacentral:lncRNA from 1 species
UUUUAGAUAUGUUGAUGACAAUUGUUACUCAAUCUCGAUAAUUGUUGAAUUGUAAUUCCUUAUAUUGAAGCAUGUUGUUCGACAGAGUAAGGAAGUUUCAAACCACCUAUGCCUAUUUUAGUAGUGUUAGCUAUUUUGGGUUUUUAUAGUUUUGGGUUUUGGCUUGAGGUCAAAGUUAACCUAAAUAUAUAAAUAGAGGGAGUAACCAUUAUUUUUGUAAUAGAGGUGAAUAAAGUAUUCACAACACUUGUAAUUCACAGUAUUUUGCAGUUGCAAAG